rnacentral:rRNA from 1 species
AUACGUACUGUGCGAACGUUAUUCGGAAUCACUGGGCUUAAAGGGUGCGUAGGCGGCCAGAUAAGUAGGAUGUGAAAUCCCCCGGCUUAACCGGGGAACUGCGUUCUAAACUGUUUGGCUUGAGUAAGAUAGGGGUGUGCGGAACUUCCGGUGGAGCGGUGAAAUGUGUUGAGAUCGGAAGGAACACCAGUAGCGAAGGCGGCACACUGGGUCUUAACUGACGCUGAGGCACGAAAGCUAGGGUAGCGAACGGGAUUAGAAACCCCAGUAGUCC